CCAUGUCGUGAGGCGGGAGGAGGGAGAGGGCACUGGGGGCCACCUGCCAAGAUGUAGGACAUGCUGGUCCUUCUUGUUGGGGUUGGGAUUUUGGAAACUGGAUGGGCCCUGCCUCCAGGAUGGCCACCCUCAGCUGUGUUGACCUGGUUUCCCUGCAGGAGCUCAGUUCCCAUUGGCUGUGGUCACACAGGCCCAGGUAGAUGUUGCUCUCACUAUCCCAGCCUCCUGAGACCUACCCUGGGUCUCAGUCCUGCCAGAACCAGGGAUUGCCCAUAGGACCUUCUUCCUUUGCAUGCAAAUGGCUCUGCGUGCAAAUGGCUCUGCGUGGACCGACCCUCGGGGGGGGCCUGUUCUUUGUGUGAUGCAACCAAUCAGUGGGCCCUCACAACUAGGAUGGGUUCUGAGUGGCCAGGGAUCUGUAAGGGGUGACUUUGGAGAGAAGUUUUCAUGGAGCAAUAAAGUGCUGGGCUCUCUCCAAGGACAGCUGUCAGGGACUUCCCACAGGGGAGGGUGUCCAUUGCCCAAGUGCCAUGACCUCACACUGGGCCAGUAGUAAGGGAUGACUGCUGAUGCCACCUGGCAGGGUACAGGUUCUACAAUGUUUCCUACAAGGCGCUAGGUCAGGAGGCUGGGUGGGUGGGGUGGAGAUGUUCCUGGUUCUGCUGGCUCUACACUGUGAGGUGCCAUGGGACUUGCCUGAUGUCACCCAAUAAAAUACCUGUUAAUCAAAUUGAUCUUUCUGGAGGGGGUGGGGGACAGCUUGCUCC